UGGGGAAUAUUGCACAAUGGGGGAAACCCUGAUGCAGCGACGCCGCGUGAGCGAAGAAGGUUUUCGAAUCGUAAAGCUCUGUCCUAUGAGAAGAUAAUGACGGUAUCAUAGGAGGAAGCCCCGGCUAAAUACGUGCCAGCAGCCGCGGUAAUACGUAUGGGCGAGCGUUGUCCGGAAUUAUUGGGCGUAAAGGGUACGUAGGCGGUCUAUUAAGUCAGGUGUGAAAGCGUGAGGCUUAACCUCAUUAAGCACUUGAAACUGAUAGACUUGAGUGAAGGAGAGGAAAGUGGAAUUCCUAGUGUAGCGGUGAAAUGCGUAGAUAUUAGGAGGAAUACCGGUGGCGAAGGCGACUUUCUGGACUUUUACUGACGCUCAGGUACGAAAGCGUGGGGAGCAAACAGG
rnacentral:rRNA from 1 species